rnacentral:rRNA from 1 species
UUUAUGGAGAGUUUGAUCCUGGCUCAGGAUGAACGCUGGCGGCGUGCCUAAUACAUGCAAGUCGAGCGAACGGACGAGAAGCUUGCUUCUCUGAUGUUAGCGGCGGACGGGUGAGUAACACGUGGAUAACCUACCUAUAAGACUGGGAUAACUUCGGGAAACCGGAGCUAAUACCGGAUGAUAUUUUGAACCGCAUGGUUCAAAAGUGAAAGACGGUCUUGCUGUCACUUAUAGAUGGAUCCGCGCUGCAUUAGCUAGUUGGUAAGGUAACGGCUUACCAAGGCAACGAUGCAUAGCCGACCUGAGAGGGUGAUCGGCCACACUGGAACUGAGACACGGUC